AACGAACGCUGGCGGCGUGCCUAACACAUGCAAGUCGAGCGAGAAAGGGGGAGCAAUCCCCUGAGUAGAGCGGCGAACGGGUGAGUAACACGUGGGUGACCUGCCCUUAGCUCUGGGAUAAGCCUGGGAAACUGGGUCUAAUACCGGAUAUGACUCCAUGACGCAUGUUGUGGGGUGGAAAGCCUUGUGCGGCUGGGGAUGGGCCCGCGGCCUAUCAGCUUGUUGGUGGGGUGAUGGCCUACCAAGGCGA
rnacentral:rRNA from 1 species